UGCAGCAUCUCACUGAGUGAAGAAUUGAAGGUUCACCCUAACAUUUACUGUAGGUGUCAGCAGAGCAGUGUUUUACCAUGUGGUCUGUCUUGAUGGUGCUGUGAUGCUUUGAGCCAGAUGCGGUCAUGACAGCCGGGUCAUUUUCUGGGGCCAUCAUCAGCUGUCAGUCAUUUGGACAUCUGUGGAUAUACUGUGUAUGUUUGUUCAGUGUAGAAUAUCAAGGCAGAGAUGAUAUGUUGUGCAACUAUUACGCAGAACUAUCAGUCAUAUUCCUGCUGAAAGCUUCAUAUGAGUUGCUGUGGAGACUUUUGUGCUUCUGUCUGUGAUGAUUCAUUGUGUUUGUAGCAAUACACAAACACCGCUCAACAAACACACACACAGAGCAUCAUCUUUGUUUAACCUUCAGCUGUGCCAUUUUGAACCUGUACAAAUGGGAUAGAGGCAGAAAGGUUUUCUUGAAUGUUUCAGCUUUUAUAAAGAACUUGAAGUUCUUUUAAAGCGUUAUUCUCAAUGUUGACUACACUCCUUGAAUCAAGCUAAACUGUGAAUUGGACAACCUAGACUUGAAAGUAUACAGAACCUCUAAAACCAGCACACAAACUCCACUCCAGGAUUCGUACCUGAGCUCUUUGCAUCACAAGUACAAUUCUGUACAAGCUGAGCUACCGAGCAAGCUUGUUAUGUCAGUGAAACUGAACAACUGGAGCUGGGAGCGCAGGUGUCCCCCUGCAGACCGUGAGUGCGUAUUGAGAGGGGAGAUGGAGAACAAUGGGAUCGUUGCGGCGGCCGUGCUGCUUCUCUGGGGCUUGCGCUGUGUUCGCUAAUUGCGGCUCUGGAUGUGUUCAGAUCUCUUUGAAGUAUGUCUGAAGAGGAUGCAUAAAAGACCGGCAAUUACCGCACAUCAUGUAAUUGCUGUGAGACAGGCAGCCGUAUGAGAGAACUCACUGCUUUCUCUGAGAGAGCGAGCGCAUGUGUGUGUGUGUGUGUGUACACUUUCUUGAAUUAAUGGAGUAAUACUUCACAAUAUCUGUGUAAGAAAACAUCAAAUCAAAGGGAUUGGAAGCCGAGCAACAGAGCUGUUUGAGCUUGUUUGAUGCGCAAUUUGUAAAUAGUUUCAUAAAAUGGCUGAACUAAAGCUUAAUUUUGGUUACAUAAAAUUAAUCUCGUGUGCAUUCAAAGUGUGUUUUAAGUUUUUAAGUUUCAUAAACUUAAUUGAUGAUAUUGAUCAGUAUUAAAGUCACUGUGAAAUCAAAAUGGAAUAUUCGUUAUGGAAUAUUGCAGUGUAAUU